GCCUGGGUGGCUCAGUCGGUUGAGCAUCUGACUUCGGCUCAGGUCAGAGUUUGCGAGUUUGGGUCCCGCUUCAAGCU
rnacentral:tRNA from 1 species